AAAAAGGCUCUUUUAAGAGCCAACUCCAUUAUCCAGAGAAGNUGCU
rfam:Neotoma lepida isolate 417 scaffold_1433, whole genome shotgun sequence.